rnacentral:rRNA from 1 species
CGUGUAGGCGGCGAUUUAAGUCUGGAGUGAAAGUCCUGCUUUUAAGGUGGGAAUUGCUUUGGAUACUGGAUGGCUAGAGUGCAGGAGAGGUUAGUGGAAUUCCCAGUGUAGCGGUGAAAUGCGUAGAGAUUGGGAGGAACACCAGUGGCGAAGGCAACUAACUGGACUGUAACUGACGCUGAGGCGCGAAAGUGUGGGGAGCAAACA